GCCACUAAUGAAUUGCCCCAAUGUUACGAGGCUGCGAGCGGCUCCAGGUUCCUAUUUAGCAAGAACCUACUUAGAGGCGCUGCACUCGCAGAAUAACACCAGGCAAUCCUAAGGU